rnacentral:rRNA from 1 species
AGUGAACGCUGGCGGUAGGCCUAACACAUGCAAGUCGAACGGCAGCACAGUAAGAGCUUGCUCUUACGGGUGGCGAGUGGCGGACGGGUGAGGAAUACAUCGGAAUCUACUUUUUCGUGGGGGAUAACGUAGGGAAACUUACGCUAAUACCGCAUACGACCUACGGGUGAAAGCAGGGGAUCUUCGGACCUUGCGCGAUUGAAUGAGUCGAUGUCGGAUUAGCUAGUUGGCGGGGUAAAGGCCCACCAAGGCGACGAUCCGUAGCUGGUCUGAGAGGAUGAUCGGCCACACUGGAACUGAGACACGGUCCAGACCCCUACGGGAGGCAGCAGUGGGGAAUAUUGGACAAUGGGCGCAAGCCUGAUCCAGCCAUACCGCGUGGGUGAAGAAGGCCUUCGGGUUGUAAAGCCCUUUUGUUGGGAAAGAAAAGCAGCAGGUUAAUACCCCGCUGUUCUGACGGUACCCAAAGAAUAAGCACCGGCUAACUUCGU